GGUGUAGGUGGCUUUGUAAGUCAGGUGUGAAAGCCCAGGGCUCAACCCUGGAAGUGCAUUUGAUACUGCGAAGCUUGAGUGUGGGAGAGGCUACUGGAAUACCUAGUGUAGUGGUGAAAUACGUAGAUAUUAGGUGGAACACCGGAGGCGAAGGCGGGUAGCUGGCCCAACACUGACACUCAGACCCGAAAGCGUGGGGAUCAAACAG
rnacentral:rRNA from 1 species